GAUGAAGAACGCAGCGAAAUGCGAUAAGUAAUGUGAAUUGCAGAAUUCAGUGAAUCAUCGAAUCUUUGAACGCACCUUGCGCCCCCUGGUAUUCCGGGGGGCAUACCUGUCCGAGCGUCAUUGCUGCCCUCAAGCACGGCUUGUGUGUUGGGCCUCCGUCCUCCUCCCGGGGGACGGGCCCGAAAGGCAGCGGCGGCACCGCGUCCGGUCCUCGAGCGUAUGGGGCUUCGUCACCCGCUCUUGUAGGCCCGGCCGGCGCUUGCCGACACAUCAAUCUUUUUUCCAGGUUGACCUCGGAUCAGGUAGGGAUACCCGCUGAACUUAAGCAUAUCAAUAAGCGGAGGA
rnacentral:misc_RNA from 1 species